rnacentral:misc_RNA from 1 species
ACUCUGGGCUGUUUCUUCUUCCACACUGAUUCCAAAUUCCUCCUCAAGUCCCAUUACAAUCUCAACCUGAAUAAAAGAAGAUAAUGUAAGAUGAUGAGAAUAACAGAAGUUGUUAGUUGAAGAGAAUAACAUUGAUUACAAUAUAAACAACUGAGGAUUGUUCCCUGAUGAAGAACUCUAUGUAAACUUCACAGCUGGAAGUAAUUAAGGGAGACCUACUUUCUCUUCACCUGUCAGGGAAUUUUCAGUUAAGAGAAUUAAUGAUAGAUUUCUACAAAUUUUUGUUAAUUUGAGCUCACAUUAUUUGCUGUGGUAGCUAAACAAUCUUGUAUUUUGGUCAAAAUUCUGGAAUGUGGGCUACCAACUGUCGGCUCUAAUUUCUUGGAAUAAAGUCCGUUUUUCCACACGAAGGAGAGGGAUAGAAUAACAGAAGUUGAAAUGAGAAAACAUACAGAAUAACUACACAUGUAUAUCCUGGAAACUUUUUUCUUAAAUAUCAUUUGACAUAAGCCUCAGGGUCUUUUCACGACAGAGUCUCAUAAUUCCAGUAUCAAAGUAAAUGGGGUUGUUCUUUGUUUCAUGGAUAUUCAAUAUAACCACUAACCAGAAGGGGAAAAUAUAGACACUGAAAAGAAAACAAAACAUGCUGCUGAAUGGAUGUUGAUCAUAUAAGUUAAACAAUGAUACAAUAUUACUAGUAUACUGUUGUGCGAAGAGAUAAGUUUAAAAUAUAAGGGCAGAGGAGGUAGACAUUGAAGU